rnacentral:tRNA from 1 species
GCAUUGGUGGUUCAGUGCUAGAACUCCUACCUCACAUGUGGGAGACCCUGGUUCCAUUGUGGCCAAUGCA